rnacentral:tRNA from 2 species
GGGCAGGUGAUCCGAUUGGUAAUGGUGGUUCUCUGUAAAAGAAUUGGUUUACAACCGUAAAAGGUUCGAUUCCUUUACUGCUCA